AGAGCAGCCGCUGUGGGUUCAUUAAUUACCCGAAGCACAUUUAGUCCAGAUAUCUGGCCAGCAUCCUUAGUGGCCUAUAAAAAAAGAAAAAAGCAUUUUCCACCGUGUCCCAGGGGACAAGGGUUCGAGCCCUGGUCCAGGAAGAUUCCACAUGCCGCAGAGCAACUAAGCCCGUGCUCCACAACAAGAGAAGCCACAGCAAUGAGAAGCCCACAUACCGCAAUUAAGCGUAGCCCCCGGUCGCUGCAAAUAGAGGAAGCCCAUGUGCAGCAACCAAGACCCAAUGCAGCCAAAAA